rnacentral:lncRNA from 1 species
GUGAGAACCAUGUAUAUAUAUGAGACACGACUAAUAAAUCACACAUUAUCUUGCUUUCACAUAGUCUCCCAAUUGAUACACAAAGUAUGGCAUUUUUAGGAGAAACUAGCAGUCAGACGAUUGUCAACUCAAGGUUGGGUUUCAUUUUUUCAAAUGGAUCGAUUAUUCACAAUGAUAGUGGGGUUUACUUCCAAACUUCCACUCUGGUGCCCAUUCAAG